GAGAUAUAUGAAUAUAUGCCAAUGCCCUCUAGGUUGAGGAGUAAAAGGAGGAAUUCAUUUAAGAAGGGGCUCAUUAGUUGUUGAGGCAAUAACUUACUAUGGCGAUGAUCAGCCAUAUAAGGACUAAGACACAACUCAGACUCCUAUGAGAGGUAAUAGUGAAGAAUUUUCCUAAUAGGCAAAAGCUUGAUGAAGUAAUGUCGCGUAGAGGUAGAAGACUCAUGGGUUGUGAACUUUUCCCAAAGAAGUAAUGACACUAUUUGAGGAAUAAACAUGAACUAACUUUAUGUCAAUAGUCACGAUAAUACAGAAGAUGCA
rnacentral:ncRNA from 1 species